UGAAGGCAGACCUCAAAGGACGAAGGAGCUCUUACCCUGGCUAGCCUUCUUUCUCCCUGGUAAACUCUGAGCAGCUUCACAUUGGCUCCAUGGCCGUCGACAAGCCUUCCGGUUCCCCCAAGCAACUGCAGUGAGGCUUUGAAAUAAAGGGGAAAACAGAGAGACAACAUCCAGUGCUGGUGGCAGACAGCAACUUUACCUCUUCGUUCUUCACAAAGACUGAAGCCACUUUUCAGGACCCCGAAGAGCUAGGAUUAGAAUUACAGGUGUCUGCUCUUUCCCCAAUCUGUGGCAUGCUGGGGGGCAAAACAGCACCUCGUGCUGCCAGAGAAGCAGCCAGCCUAGUGCUGAGCUUCGUCCUCAGCUCCUACACAAGGUCUUCAAAGGCCACCGCAGAACAGAACAGAGGGCAGCAGAGACGGGCCUGGAAGAGAGCCCUGAAAGAAAGUCCCCACCAGAGGGGGCUUUUGCCUAUGUGUGUGCCUGUGCUCUUCCUGGAUGCCUGGUAUCUGAGGAGUCUAGAAGAGUGCAUCAGUUUCCCUGGAACUGAAGCUACAGACGGUUGUGAACCUCCAUGUGAGUGCUGAGAAUCUAAUCCUGAUCCUGUAGAGAAGUGCUCUUAACGGUUGAGCUAUUUCUCCAGAUACUGAUUUCAAAUUAUUGAUCCUCCUGCCUCAACUUCCUGAAUGCUGAGAUUACAAGCAUGAGACGUCAUAUCUAGCUCUCAAACAUUGCUUUUGUUUGAUACUGAUUUUGUCUUCUGGUAUAAAUGAGAUGGCUAUACAAAUAUACUUCUGAGCAUUUUUCUGAAAUCUAGACUGGUAUAUGGACUCAGAAGGUUCUAGUCUUUGCCAGAGAUAGAUGGUAACAGCAAUUCCUCCCCCCAAAUUUUUCCUUAUAAACUACACUAUCAUUUUAGUUAGCCCCCUCCCUUUGCUGCUCCAUGUCAAAGAUUAA
rnacentral:lncRNA from 1 species